AGAAAAGGGCAAAUUCAUCAAUGGCCUAAUCUCCAGGAACGCCUACUGUCUUAAGGGUAAUGCUUUACUAGAAGGAAAAACAACCUGAGCUUGACAAUACCAAGGUCUCCAGUAACCCGUGAGUCUCCUUUAGCAUGUGGGAAUCCCUUUAAGAAACUUCCUCUCGACUUUACCUCCCCUAACUCCAUAGUAUAUAAGCAGUCACUCUUCACAACCCCAGUGCAGCUCUUUCUGCCCAUGGGCCUCGUCCCCGUACUUGAACUGCCUUUUUAUACCAAAGACAUUUUCAAGAACUCUUGGCCGUCAGCUCUGAACCCCACCCUCACUCCAAAACCCCAUCAUUUGGCACCUAAACCGUGGGACUUCAAGUCUUUUCAACUGGACUCUGAGCCAGUGCAAACUUGGUGUUUGAUUACUUCAUUAAAACUUCUCAAUAUUAAAGGAGCUUCGCUUUGCUAACAACCAUAUAACCCUACAUAUUUGCCUUUAGGAUCUCUUAUUGCCAUCUUGGUGAAGACACCAUUGGAAAUCCUGGUUAUUUCAGCAAGGCUUUGGCUGGAAUGUCCUAUUUGAGAGCAACAUGCAUAGACUCGGAUAUGACCAUACAGCUCUGAGGAACUAAGGUUGACUAUACGAAACAUGGAGCCAUAAAGCCACUUGGAAAUGUUGGCCUGAUACCUUGCUUACCAAGUUCCCAGAGGCCUUACCAGCGGGACAUUCAAAAGGAUCACCACAGACAUUUGAAUUACAAGCCAGAAAGACCCAUCUGAUUCCUACUGCCUGUUCCCACUCCAUCUGAGGAUGCUUCAAGCCUGACCUCUAAAAAUCUUGCUGGUACCACUGGCAGACACUGGACUCCUUCACUGCAAUAACUUCAAGCCAACAGACAAGCCUUUCUAUUCAAGAAGGACACGCCUGGUGGAUCUACCUAAGUCCAGGAGAGAGAUGUAUACCAUUCAUUUGAGAUACCGGUUCAAGCAGAAGCCAGGAGUGGGGACUGGAGAUGAUACUACAGCAUCUCAGACACCAGGUAGGUCUGUUACCCUGGACUUCCAGGGAGAGUAUCUCUGGAGCUCAACUUCUGCAUCCACAAGAUGGACCAAGCCAAGCAAUGGCCCAGAAAACCACAGGCUUUGUGCUUUUCUUGAAUCCUUGCCUCCUGAAUGUUCAUCCCUUAAGACUUUUUGAAGCCCAGGGCCAUGAAGUUUUCGUAAGGCUUCAGGAAUCCAGGUAAGCAACCUGGGCCCCCAGCUUCGGCUGAGGCCCUGUUAUGGAGUCAAUAUUUGUGUCCCCCAAAAUUCCUAGGUUGAAAUCCUAACCCUUAAUGUGAAUGGUAUUAGG